AUGUGGCUCAGUGGGUAGAGUGCUUGCCUUGUAUGCAUGAGGCCCUGGGUUUGAUCCCCAGCAU
rnacentral:tRNA from 1 species